CCUUCCAUUUUCCUGUUGUCUAUUCUGUUUGGCAUUUACGUGCUACUUAUGUCAUUUCACUUUUAAGUGUUUUUGAAUUUUGCUCAGGGUUAUGAAUAGGAUUUGAAAGGAUUGUUAGCUAGUUGUAUAUCUCAAUUUCUGACUGUGUUGUUCUUUCUUUGUCGAAGAAUACGCAAUGGCCCAAACUUUUGAUGAACUGGAAAACAACCCUUUUUAUACUUCAUUGGAGACCAAAUUUUCUGAAAAAUUAAAGGAAGCACAAAAGAAACUUUGGCUAAUUUGUGUUCCAUUUCACAAAAGUCUUAAAGGGGCUACAAUUACUAAAGAAUUUGUUGAUACUCAUGUUUUGAAACCUUCUCCUUUCUUUAAAAGUCAUUUUGUCACAACAGACAUCAAUAAUCCUUUGAGUUUUGAAAUUGAAGAUGACACAAUCAAAACUCAAACUGGGACCAUAAAAAUUUUAGCUGAAGAAACUGCAUAUAAUGAUGAUUAUAAGCCGUAUAGGAUAUUAAUAACUGAAACUCCACUCUGUUCAUCCAGUAUCAAGGAUGAAUUGCACUGUACUAAGAAUACUAAAAAUGGUCUUAGGUUGUCUUUAAAUGAGUGUUCUAGUUUUCUUGCGUCAUUUCCAGAGUGUUCUGAGGUUUUAAGAAUGCUCGAUAAGAAAAUACAGAUAUUUAAUACCUCAUACAUGGUUUUACCCCAAUAUUUGCAACAUGCUUCUCUUAAAUUGAAAGAGAUGUUGAAUUGGGUUGUGAAAGAGUUUUCUAGUUCUCUGCAAUAUCGGACAUCUGAAGAUUAUUCCAAAUCUGAAAUAUCAGCAGCAUUAGAAAACUAUAUCAUGUUUCAUGUGCACGAUAAAGUUUUCCCAGUGAUAAAGAAAUUCUGUAAAGAAGAAGACAGAAAAUUAUUUCAGAAACUUGUGUCACUAUAUGAAGAUCAUGUUACUGCAGAUCAGCUUGGUGUUCGCGAGUCCUUUUGUUGUGAAACUCCCAGUGCUGUAGUUGAACUUGCUUCUCUGAAUUCAAGAAAAAGUCCUGCAGAAAAACUGCAUUGUUUCAUGAAGACUCUUGAACUUCUGAAUCAAGACAUUGAACAGUUCUUAUUAGAAACUUGUUAUCCGGUUAGCAAUAAAGAUACACCAUGUUUAACAACAGAUGACCUAAUACCUUUGCUAGUGAAUGUAAUUGUUCAAGCCAGACCUCAAUAUUUCGUUAGUAAUUUAUAUUAUAUUCAAAACUUCUGUUGGGAAAACUCUCCAGUUGAUAAGAUAAGCUUUGUUUUAGUUACGUUUCAAGCUGCUAAAGAGUUUUUAAAAAGCAAAGAGUUUGAAUCUCUGAAGCCAUCCAGUAGAAAAAUUAAAAAAGAGUUGUCAUUAGAAGAAUUGAUGGAAGUAACAGUGGAAAUACAAAAUACUAGAAAGUCUUCCAGUGAAGCUAAACCAGUGCAUAUUCAGUCACCUACAGAUCAUCUUCUUGAAAAUGUAACAAAAAUGAUAGAGGCUUCAACACAGGAUCUCAGAGAUUGGAAUCACAUGAAAGUAUCUUAUUCCUGAGUAUGCUGGAUGAUAGUACUGGAGUAUGCUUCUCUCCUAAACAAGACUGUGUGGAAGGUUUUUUCCACUGCCAUGUGUAAAAUGGGUUCUUGCAGCCAGAAGAAUCCCAUAAAUUCAAGACCAAAAGAAAGUGUUGGAGAUUUCUUGUCCAGUUUAAGGCAAAGUAGUCUUGGUCUCAGCUAUGGGAAGCAAACGUGAAUCAGUUUAAAGCUAUUUAUGUAACUGUAAUUUUAUUGUUAGUUCUACAUUUUUAAAUAAAAUGUUUUUUGCAAUGUG